GACGAACGCUGGCGGCGUGCUUAACACAUGCAAGUCGAACGGAAAGGCCCUGCUUUUGUGGGGUGCUCGAGUGGCGAACGGGUGAGUAACACGUGAGUAACCUGCCCUUGACUUUGGGAUAACUUCAGGAAACUGGGGCUAAUACCGGAUAGGAGCUCCUGCUGCAUGGUGGGGGUUGGAAAGUUUCGGCGGUUGGGGAUGGACUCGCGGCUUAUCAGCUUGUUGGUGGGGUAGUGGCUUGCCAAGGCUUUGACGGGUAGCCGGCCUGAGAGGGUGACCGGACACAUUGGGACUGAGAUACGGCCCAGACUCGUACGGGAGGCAGCAGUGGGGAAGAUUGCACAAUGGGCGGAAGCCUGAUGCAGCAACGCCGCGUGCGGGAUGACGGCCUUCGGGUUGUAAACCGCUUUCGCCUGUGACGAAGCGUGAGUGACGGUAAUGGGUAAAGAAGCACCGGCUAACUACGUG
rnacentral:rRNA from 1 species